rfam:Aedes albopictus isolate Foshan contig67682, whole genome shotgun sequence.
GAAACGAUGGCCUAGUGGUUAAGGCUAUAGAUCGUCAAUCCGGAGACGGCGGAUUCGAUUCCCGUUCCGGUCG